rnacentral:rRNA from 1 species
GACGAACGCUGGCGGCGUGCUUAACACAUGCAAGUCGAACGGUGAAGGGGAGCUUGCUCCCUGGAUCAGUGGCGAACGGGUGAGUAACACGUGGGCAACCUGCCCCUGACUUCGGGAUAACGCUUCGAAAGAGGUGCUAAUACCGGAUAUGAACCCUGAGGGCAUCCUCGGGGUUGGAAAGUUUUUCGGUCAGGGAUGGGCCCGCGGCCUAUCAGCUUGUUGGUGAGGUAGUGGCUCACCAAGGCGACGACGGGUAGCCGGCCUGGGAGGGCGACCGGCCACACUGGGACUGAGACACGGCCCAGACUCCUACGGGAGGCAGCAGUGGGGAAUAUUGCGCAAUGGGCGAAAGCCUGACGCAGCAACGCCGCGUGAGGGAUGAAGGCCUUCGGGUUGUAAACCUCUUUCAGCAGGGAAGAAGCGAAAGUGACGGUACCUGCAGAAGAAGCACCGGCUAACUACGUGCCAGCAGCCGCAGUAA